UGACCUCAAAUCAGUAU
rnacentral:rRNA from 1 species